AUAAACGCAUUGAUGUGGAAAGUAAAAUUAAUGGACAUUUCCUAGAGAGCUUACAUUUGGUGAAAGUAAGUAAAUGAACUUAAUUUGAAAAUGGCCACUGAGCGGUCACUCUGAAUGCUAGGCAAUAAGAGUGGACGGAUCCAACCGUUAAAAUGGCACAGUAUCGUUAAUACAUGUUUGACUGUACUGUAUGAGGUUAAAUUAGCAAUAAUUUAACAAAAAAGGUGGUACCACGAAAUGAUAACUCUCGUCCUUUAU
rnacentral:ncRNA from 1 species